rnacentral:lncRNA from 1 species
AUAAAUUAAUUUUAUUCAUUUCUGUGUUGCUUUAUGGAUAAAUAAUUGUAUUUUUCAUUGUAAAAGAGUAGUUCAUUUUAUAUAUAUAUAUACAUACACACACACGUGUAUGUGUGUGCGUAUGUGUGUGUGUGUAUGUGUGUGUGUAUCUCAAGUUUCUUUUUCAUUUAUUUUCUUAUGCUAGUUAAAAGAGAACCUUGCUAAAUUUGGGGGUGUGCUAAAUAGAGAUACCUCGAACCUUCCAGUGGUGGUAAACAGAAAUAAAGAUGAGUACCAAGAAAUGUUAAACAGCCUCCUUAGAUCUCACCUUAUUAUUAUUUUUUUUUUCCAGAUUUCUCACGGACUUUAUUUGCUGGAUCUUCUACCGUCAUCAAAUUUUUCUACUUCUUCAUGAAAAAGUAGUUCAUAAAUAAGAAGUGGGGAAGACCAUGCAUUAUACUACAGAGAUACAAAGGUUUUUAUAUAUUGAAGAAAAGGCAGAUAUAAGCACACUGACAAGUAAGCCUUUGGAUGGAGUGGUGAGGCCAGGAGCACCACGGGCUACUUCUCGAGAAGUUGCUGCCUUAAAAUUAAUAAAGAAAAAGAAAUGUCUUCAUAUCCAAGACUUCAGGUGGCAAGCUUCAACCAUACUUCAUACGUCAGCCAACCACACCAGAAGAGACGACGAUGCCUGGCUAUAUUCCUGCUGUAAAGUCGUAUCCACAAAAUUAUAUCUGUCAGUGCUUACCUCCAUGUAGGUCAGUACGAUUAGGACAGCUCUUAGGAAGAAAUUAAAUAUAUGGAAUUAAAUACAUGUAUACAGAUGGUUCCUGGAACUAAAGAACCAGUAUGCAUUCCCAAUAGUCUGUUCCAAUAAGAGCCAAGUGCAACCUUAAAAUAGAGAUGUAAAGAGUUAGAUCUGUGCUAUCCAUUACAGUAGCCACUGGCUGUAUGUGGCUACUAAGCACUUAAAAUGUAGUUAAUCUUAGUUGGCAAGAGCUUUGAAUGUAAAAUACAUACCAAAUG